rnacentral:rRNA from 1 species
CCUACGGGUGGCAGCAGUGGGGAAUAUUGGGCAAUGGGCGCAAGCCUGACCCAGCAACGCCGCGUGAAGGAAGAAGGCUUUCGGAUUGUAAAAUUCUUUUCUCAGGGACGAAGCAAGUGACGGUACCUGAGGAAUAAGCCGAGGCUAACUACGUGCCAGCCGCCGCCGUACUACGUAGGUGGCAAGCGUUAUACGGAUUUACUGGGGGGAAAGUGCGUGUAGGCGGGGUAGCAAGGCAGAUGUGAAAACCAUGGGCUCAACCUGUGGCCUGCAUUUGAAACUGUGUUUCUUGAGUGCUGGAGAGGAAGACGGAACUCCUAGUGUAGCGGUGAAAUGCGUAGAUAUAAGGAGGAACACCAGUGGCGAAGGCGGUCCGCUGGACAGUAACUGACGCUGAGGUGCGAAAGCGUGGGGAGCAAACAGGAUUAGAUACCCUUGUAGUC